GUGGGGAAUUGUUCGCAAUGGGCGCAAGCCUGACGACGCAACGCCGCGUGGAGGAUGAAGGUCUUCGGAUUGUAAACUCCUGUUGCCCGGGACGAAUGGCCCGCGCGUGAACAGCGCGUGGGAAUGACGGUACCGGGUGAGGAAGCCCCGGCUAACUCUGUGCCAGCAGCCGCGGUAAUACAGAGGGGGCGAGCGUUGUUCGGAAUUACUGGGCGUAAAGGGCGCGUAGGCGGCCCGCUAAGUCAGACGUGAAAUCCCUCGGCUCAACCGAGGAACUGCGUCUGAGACUGGAGGGCUCGAAUCCGGGAGAGGGAUGCGGAAUUCCAGGUGUAGCGGUGAAAUGCGUAGAUAUCUGGAGGAACACCGGUGGCGAAGGCGGCAUCCUGGACCGGCAUUGACGCUGAGGCGCGAAAGCCAGGGGAGCAAACGGGAUUAGAAACCCGAGUAGUCC
rnacentral:rRNA from 1 species